rnacentral:rRNA from 1 species
GACGAACGCUGGCGGCGUGCUUAACACAUGCAAGUCGAGCGAGGUCCAUCCGGUGGCAACACCGGUGAAGACCUAGCGGCGAACGGGUGAGUAACACGUGAGCAACCUGCCCCGAAGACUGGGAUAACACCGGGAAACCGGUGCUAAUACCGGAUGCCCUCCUCUGGUCGCAUGGCCUAGGGAGGAAAUGAAUUUUGCUUCGGGAGGGGCUCGCGGGCUAUCAGCUUGUUGGUGGGGUAACGGCCCACCAAGGCGACGACGGCUAGCUGGUCUGAGA